AAUCCAUAGGUUAAUGAGGCGAACCGGGGGAACUGAAACAUCUAAGUACCCCGAGGAAAAGAAAUCAACCGAGAUUCCCCCAGUAGCGGCGAGCGAACGGGGAGGAGCCCAGAGCCUGAAUCAGCAUGUGUGUUAGUGGAAGCGUCUGGAAAGGCGCGCGAUACAGGGUGACAGCCCCGUACACAAAAGCGCAUGUGCUGUGAGCUCGAUGAGUAGGGCGGGACACGUGGUAUCCUGUCUGAAUAUGGGGGGACCAUCCUCCAAGGCUAAAUACUCCUGACUGACCGAUAGUGAACCAGUACCGUGAGGGAAAGGCGAAAAGAACCCCGGCGAGGGGAGUGAAAAAGAACCUGAAACCGUGUACGUACAAGCAGUGGGAGCACAGGUUUACCUGUGUGACUGCGUACCUUUUGUAUAAUGGGUCAGCGACUUAUAUUCUGUAGCAAGGUUAACCGUAUAGGGGAGCCGGAGGGAAACCGAGUCUUAAUUGGGCGUUAAGUUGCAGGGUAUAGACCCGAAACCCGGUGAUCUAGCCAUGGGCAGGUUGAAGGUUGGGUAACACUAACUGGAGGACCGAACCGACUAAUGUUGAAAAAUUAGCGGAUGACCUGUGGCUGGGGGUGAAAGGCCAAUCAAACCGGGAGAUAGCUGGUUCUCCCCGAAAGCUAUUUAGGUAGCGCCUCGUGAAUUCAUCUCCGGGGGUAGAGCACUGUUUCGGCUAGGGGGCCAUCCCGGCUUACCAACCCGAUGCAAACUGCGAAUACCGGAGAAUGUUAUCACGGGAGACACACGGCGGGUGCUAACGUCCGUCGUGAAGAGGGAAACAACCCAGACCGCCAGCUAAGGUCCCAAAGUCAUGGUUAAGUGGGAAACGAUGUGGGAAGGCCCAGACAGCCAGGAUGUUGGCUUAGAAGCAGCCAUCAUUUAAAGAAAGCGUAAUAGCUCACUGGUCGAGUCGGCCUGCGCGGAAGAUGUAACGGGGCUAAACCAUGCACCGAAGCUGCGGCAGCGACGCUUAUGCGUUGUUGGGUAGGGGAGCGUUCUGUAAGCCUGUGAAGGUGGCCUGUGAGGGUUGCUGGAGGUAUCAGAAGUGCGAAUGCUGACAUAAGUAACGAUAAAGCGGGUGAAAAGCCCGCUCGCCGGAAGACCAAGGGUUCCUGUCCAACGUUAAUCGGGGCAGGGUGAGUCGACCCCUAAGGCGAGGCCGAAAGGCGUAGUCGAUGGGAAACGGGUUAAUAUUCCCGUACUUGGUGUUACUGCGAAGGGGGGACGGAGAAGGCUAUGUUGGCCG
rnacentral:rRNA from 1 species